rnacentral:lncRNA from 1 species
CCACUCAGGAUCAGCUUGGAACAGCCCUCUAGAAUUUAAAUUUUUUUCUCUAAGAAAAUUUAACCUGCUAAAUCUGAACGAAGCCUGGAUCGCGAUCAACACUUGAUCUCUUUUUUUGAUCUUCUUCUUUUCCUCUUUUUUAAACUUUCUCCUUUGUUAUAUGCUACUACCAGCAGGUGGAAACCAACAAACAAGAGAGCCCACAACAGCCCUUGGCAUGAAGAAGAGGGGACGCCCAAGAUGGGGCGUAUGGGACGCCCAAGGGAGGAGAAGAGAGG